rnacentral:lncRNA from 1 species
AAGAAAAUUAAAUAACAAUAACGAGGUUAUAUACAGGGUAUUACGGUACAGAGUCAAUGUGGAGGCUAUAUACAGGGUAUUACGGUACAGAGUCAAUGUGGAGGCUAUAUACAGGGUGUUACGGUACAGAGUCAAUGUGGAGGCUAUAUACAGGGUGUUACGGUACAGAGUCAAUGUGGAGGCUAUAUACAGGGGGUACUGGUACAGAGUCAGUGUGGAGGCUAUAUACAGGGGGUACCGAUACAGAGUCAAUGUGGAGGCUAUAUACAGGGGGUACCGGUACAGAGUCAGUGUGGAGGCUAUAUACAGGGUGUUACGGUACAGAGUCAAUGUGGAGGCUAUAUACAGGGUGUUACGGUACAGAGUCAAUGUGGAGGCUAUAUACAGG